rnacentral:lncRNA from 1 species
UUAUUUAAAAUAAACUUAACUAAACUAUGAAAUAAUUAAAUUUCAAACUUGUAACAUCAGGUACAACCUAUUGAACCCCUAAUCGAUUAUGGCUUAGUUUGGUAUUAAGGCCUAUCUAACGCUAUUAGAUAAAUGGAGUUAAGAAAAAGUAUAUAGGAGUAUGCUUCUGCAUUCUUGGGUGGGAUCGUAGAAAAUAUAUCAUAACCGACUCAUCGCGAUAUGCGAAAUGCAAUAUUACAUACGGAAACAAACAUGAUAUUUUUUCAACGUAUUUUCUCACCGCACGUAACGCAAUUUUUCUGUAAUCACAAACGAAGCCUAUGUUGAAGAUAGUUGUUGCUGAUGUAAAAGAUACGAUCAAUACACAAAGUCAUGCCAUCCAUAUGAGUGAUAAGAUGGUUAGGCUAUCUUAUAAGACCCCGUUUGGUUCGGGGGAUAAGCGGGGAUAACGAAAGUUAUCCCCACUAUUCCGCCAAACGGGAU